rnacentral:rRNA from 1 species
CACGUGGACAAUCUGCCCCCCGGCCCGGGAUAGCCCAGGGAAACCUGGAGUUAAUACCGGAUGAGACGGGACCCGCGAUGGCGGGAUCCGGGAAAGGCGCUGCGGCGCCGCCGGGGGAUGAGUCUGCGUCCCAUUAGCUAGACGCGGGGUAAGGCCCACCGUGGCGACGACUGGGUAGCCGGCCUGAGAGGGUGGACGGCCACAUUGGAACUGAGACACGGUCCAGACUCCUACGGGAGGCAGCAGCUAAGAAUCUUCCGCAAUGGGCGAAAGCCUGACGGAGCGAACCGCCGCGUGAACGAAGAAGGCCGUGAGGGUUGUAAAGUUCUUUUCGGGAGGGGGAACAACCGUGGCAGGGAAUGGCCGCGGGAUGACGUGAAUCCCGGAAUAAGCCCCGGCUAACUACGUGCCAGCCGCCGC